ACAGCUGCUAGAACGUCACAAGCCACUGCACUACUCUAAACUCAAACGGCUGUACCGCCAGGCUGCCAGGACCCUUGGGCCAAGGUUCCACGAAGGCUGGUCCAAGAGCUCGGUCUGCGGGGUCUUCAUUUCAACGCCCUGUCCCCGCUGUUGAUCCAGUAACUCUCCAAGGACCUUGCCUGUUAAGUUUCAGAAGAUACCAAAGUUGACCAGCCUGCCUCCUGUCUCAGAAGAAUGAGGCCUUACACACCUGUCAAGACUCCAGCCUGACCCUACUGGUCCAACUCCAGGAUCUCCAGAGGGCAUCAGGUCCCAAAGAAGAAGCGUGGUGACAGCUAAGGGAAACAAGAGACUAAGAAAAUCUGAAGGGGAGUCAGGAUGAAUGCCACUUAACUGAAAAAAGGCUACCCCUUUUACUCUAUAACUGCACAAUAGCUUAACUGUAGGCAAUAUUGAAAACAAACUCAAUGAUUCAAGGAUGAAAGAUCAUCAUUAACGUGAUUACAGCAUUUAUCUGAGACAAAAGCAAUUCAGCAAGUAUCCAAAUCCCCUGACUCUCAGUUACUCUAGCAGAUACGAUCCCAGUGCUCCUCAUACCUAUCCAAGUUCUGGCUAGUCUUGAGUCAUUCUGUAAGUUGCUCAGGCAACCCUGAACUUAAAUCCUGUCUCAGCCUCCCAAAUAACUGGGAUUAUACAUCUGUGCCAAUGUUCUUAAGAAUGAAGAUUGAACUUCAUCUUUGACUCCUUAAGGUGCCAGUUUGUUUGGCAAUAAAUAUUCGCUGACCCUUUGAGUUACUAUGAGGAAAGAUUUUAUAAAAAUCCUAAGUAAUAUGUUCUGCACUUUACCCAUGACGUUUACUUGGACAACCAAGUCGGGAACCAUCAUCUACUUGUGAGAGUGGUCACCACACGCUGAGGUGUGAGAGGAGGGGCAAAAGGUUUCCCAAGGAAAAGAUGAGAACCUGUCACCGGUCAACCAGCAGCAUCUCCUACACCACCCCACUUUGCAAGGAGUGCGUCCAUCUAAGGACUCUUGGCUCUGUGUUAAACCUCCCCUCUGAGAAUGGACACAAAAACAGCAGCUCACCAUGCCCAAUUUUCUUUGAUAAACAACUGCAGUUCACAUUGAAACCAACUACCUUGGCCUCAUAACCAGUAGAGAGAGGCUUUAGUAAGGCAGGUGGGAUGCACCUGGUCAGACAGGAAUAC